UCAAGUUAUUAAGGGUGCAGGGCGGAUGCCUUGGCACUAGGAGCCGAUGAAGGACGUGAUAAGCUGCGAUAAGCUUCGGGGAGUUGCACGUAAACUUUGAUCCGAAGAUUUCCGAAUGAGGAAACUCACUUAGAGUAAUGUCUAAGUAUCAUUAAGUGAAUACAUAGCUUAAUGAGGGGAACUCAGGGAACUGAAACAUCUAAGUACCUGAAGGAAGAGAAAGAAAUUCGAUUCCGUAAGUAGCGGCGAGCGAACGCGGAUUAGCCCAAACCAAUAAAGUUUUCUUUAUUGGGGUUGCGGACAUAUCAUAACGAAGAGGUAUCGUAAUUGAAGAGGUUUGGAAAGACCCACCACAGAAGGUAAUAGUCCUGUAUGUUAAACGAGAAGACUUCAGAUAUGAUCCAGAGUACCACGGGACACGUGAAACCCUGUGGGAAGCAGGAGGGACCACCCUCCAAGGCUAAAUACUACCUAGUGACCGAUAGCGUAUAGUACCGUGAGGGAAAGGUGAAAAGAACCCCGGGAGGGGAGUGAAAUAGAACCUGAAACCCUGCACUUACAAGCUGUGGAAGCACAUUUCUUGUGUGACCGCGUACUUUUUGUAGAACGGGCCAACGAGUUACGUUAAGUAGCAAGGUUAAGCACUUAAGGUGUGGAGCCGUAGCGAAAGCGAGUUUUAACUGAGCGUUCAGUUACUUGACGUAGACCCGAAACCGGGCGACCUACCCAUGAGCAGGAUGAAGCGAAAGUAAAAUUUCGUGGAGGUCCGAACCCACGAGCGUUGAAAAGCUCGGGGAUGACUUGUGGGUAGCGGUGAAAUUCCAAUCGAGCCCGGAGAUAGCUGGUUCUCCCCGAAAUAGCUUUAGGGCUAGCCUCAAGGUGAGAGAUACGGAGGUAGAGCACUGAAUGUCCUAGGGGGUAUUGCACCUACCGAAGACUAUCAAACUCCGAAUGCCGUCAUCUUAUACUUGGGAGUCAGACUGUGGGUGAUAAGAUUCAUAGUCGAAAGGGCAACAGCCCAGAUCGUCAGCUAAGGUCCCUAAAUGUAAGUUAAGUGGUAAAGGAUGUGGGAUUGCACAGACAACCAGGAUGUUGGCUUAGAAGCAGCCACUCAUUCAAAGAGUGCGUAAUAGCUCACUGGUCGAGUGAUCCUGCGCCGAAGAUUUCCGGGGCUAAAACUUACUACCGAAGCUACGGCAUCAGUAAUGAUGGGUAGGGGAGCUUCCCAUACGGGUUGAAGCAUGACCGUAAGGACAUGUGGACAGUAUGGGAGUGAGAAUGUUGGCAUGAGUAGCGAGAUGUGGGUGAGAAUCCCACAGGCCGUAAACCCAAGGUUUCCAGGGGAAGGUUCGUCCGCCCUGGGUUAGUCGGGACCUAAGCUGAGGCCGAAAGGCGUAGGUGAUGGACAACAGGUUGAUAUUCCUGUACUACCGAUAACCGUUUGAGAGAAGGGAUGACACAGUAGGAUAAGCUAAGCACACUGUUGGUUAUGUGUGCCCAAGCAUUGAGGCAGUCAAAGUAGGCAAAUCCGCUUUGAUAAUGCUGGGAUGUGAUGGGGAGCGAAAUUUAGUAGCGAAGUAGCUGAUUUCACACUGUCAAGAAAAGUCUCUAUCGAGGUUAAAGGUACCCGUACCGCAAACCGACACAGGUGGGUGAGGAGAGUAUCCUAAGGCCAGCGAGAGAACUGUUGUUAAGGAACUCGGCAAAAUGACCCCGUAACUUAGGGAUAAGGGGUGCCACCAUCAGGUGGCCGCAGAGAAUAGGCCCAAGCGACUGUUUACCAAAAACAUAGGUUUCUGCUAAGUCGCAAGACGAUGUAUAGGAGCUGACGCCUGCCCGGUGCUGGAAGGUUAAGGGGAUCUGUUAGAGCAAUCGAAGCAGUGAACUUAAGCCCCAGUAAACGGCGGCCGUAACUAUAACGGUCCUAAGGUAGCGAAAUUCCUUGUCGGGUAAGUUCCGACCCGCACGAAAGGCGUAACGAUUUGGGCACUGUCUCAACAACAGACUCGGUGAAAUUGUAAUUCCGUUGAAGAUGCCGGAUACCUGCGACAGGACGGAAAGACCCCAUGGAGCUUUACUGUAGCUUGACAUUGGGUCUUGGUACUACAUGUACAGGAUAGGUGGGAGGCUUUGAAACCAGGACGCCAGUUUUGGCGGAGCCAUCCUUGGGAUACCACCCUUGUAGUACUGGGACUCUAACCAUAGGCCAUGAAUCUGGUCUUGGGACACUGUCAGGUGGGCAGUUUGACUGGGGCGGUCGCCUCCCAAAAGGUAACGGAGGCGCUCAAAGGUUCUCUCAGUACGGUCGGAAAUCGUACGUAGAGUGUAAAGGCAAAAGAGAGCUUGAUUGCAAGACAUACAGGUCGAGCAAGGAUGAAAAUCGGACUUAGUGAUCCGGUGGUUCUGCGUGGAAGGGCCAUCGCUCAACGGAUAAAAGCUACCCUGGGGAUAACAGGCUUAUCUCCCCCAAGAGUCCACAUCGACGGGGAGGUUUGGCACCUCGAUGUCGGCUCAUCACAUCCUGGGGCUGUAGUAGGUCCCAAGGGUUGGGCUGUUCGCCCAUUAAAGUGGUACGCGAGCUGGGUUCAGAACGUCGUGAGACAGUUCGGUCCCUAUCCGUCGCAGGCGUAGGAAAUUUGAGAAGACCUGUCCUUAGUACGAGAGGACCGGGAUGGACGUACCUCUGGUGUACCAGUUGUUCUGCCAAGGGCAUGGCUGGGUAGCUAUGUACGGAAUGGAUAAGCGCUGAAAGCAUCUAAGCGCGAAGCCAACUUCAAGAUAAGAUUUCCCACCGCAAGGGUAAGACCCCAGAAAGACUAUCUGGUUGAUAGGUCGAAGGUGUAAGUGCAGCAAUGUAUUUAGCUUAUCGAUACUAAUAGGUCGAGGACUUGACCAA
rnacentral:rRNA from 1 species